UAGAUAUCGAGAUGCUGGAUAUGUCUACUAGCCAACCUUCAACAUCUGGCAAAAAAUUUGUAAAAAAUAAAGAUACCGAGAUGCUGGAUAUGUCUACUAGCCAACCUUCAACAUCUGGCAAAAAAUCA